CGCUCAAACGACAACCACAGUGGCUGAACCUGUUUAUAUGCUUGAAGUUAUGUUGGUAAACGAAACUUUUACAGGUGCACUUAAUGAUCAAAGUAGCGCUGAAUACCAGGAUCUUGAAAGAAGACUUGUACAAACAUGUGAAGUCAUAUACCGAAGAGAAUAUGGUGAUCUCUUUGUGAAAUGCUCUGUGACAGGUUUCAGAUCUGUUCCAACACGAGCUGACGGAGUUGAAGCAGAUCUUCCAAUUACUUUCAACCAAACUACUCCAGCUGCAGACCUCCCACAGAAUAGUGCUGUUGCUCAAACUCUUGUUCAAGCUGCAAAUGAUAACAAUAACUAUGACGUGAGCUUUAAUUCUAAUGCAGUUUCAG